rnacentral:rRNA from 1 species
CCUACGGGAGGCAGCAGUGGGGAAUAUUGCACAAUGGGGGAAACCCUGAUGCAGCGACGCCGCGUGAGUGAAGAAGUAUCCCGGUACGUAAAGCUCUAUCAGCAGGGAAGAAAAUGCCGGCACCUGACUAAGAAGCACCGGCUAACUACGUGACAGCAGCCGCGGUAAUACGUAGGUGGCCAGCGUUAUCCGGAUUUACUGGGGGUAAAGGGAGCGUAGACGGCAGCACAAGUCUGGAGGGAAAUGCCGGGGGUUAACCCCGGAACUGAUUUGGAAACUGGGCGGCUGGAGUGCAGGAGGGGUAAGCGGAAUUCCGAGUGUAGCGGUGAAAUGCGUAGAUAUUUGGAGGAACACCGGUGGCGAAGGCGGCUUACUGGACUGUAACUGACGUUGAGGCUCGAAAGCGUGGGGAGCAAACAGGAUUAGAUACCCGUGUAGUC